rnacentral:rRNA from 1 species
AGUGAACGCUGGCGGCAGGCCUAACACAUGCAAGUCGAACGAGUGGCGGACGGGUGAGGAAUAUAUCGGAAUCUACUCUGUCGUGGGGGAUAACGAAGGGAAACUUAAGCUAAUACCGCAUACGUUUGAAUGUGCCGAUGUGUGAUUAGCUAGUUGGCGGGGUAACGGCCCACCAAGGCGACGAUCCGUAGCUGGUCUGAGAGGAUGACCAGCCACACUGGAACGGGGACACGGUCCAGACUCCUACGGGAGGCAGCAGUGGGGAAUAUUGGACAAUGGGCGCAAGCCUGAUGCAGCCAUACCGCGUGUGUGAAGAAGGCCUUCGGGUUGUAAAGCCCUUUUGUUGGGAAGGCGGUACCCAAAGAAGAAGCACCGGCUAACUUCGUGCCAGCAGCCGCGGUAAUAC